UUUUUGACAGCAUGGGUGAAAACAUUUCCCCAAACAAGCUUUCGGACGACUUGCCUAAUACACAAAUUGUUGUGUCUUUGGCUUGAGCUCAGAUGAAAACUCGCGCCCCAGUACGUGUAGAAGCUGCCGCUGAAGCAAAACGGAAGCUUUUUGACGUCAUUGGAUAUAAUCAGGUUUGUGAUGACAAAUAUCGCAUCAGAGCUGCGGACGCUAGAUUUGCAGGAUCUCAUCAUGAUGCUUAUAUUUGGAGUAUUAGUCCCAUUUGCAAACAUUUCAGAUAUCUACAUAGUUAUGGAAUAACUGACAAGUUGUUGGGAGAUGCAGGGUAUCCUUCCGAACCAUGGCUUAUAACACCCAAUCGUAACCCAGAUUCAGGCACACAAGAAUCUAUUUGUAAUAUAUUUCAUGCCAGAGAACGAAACAUCGUUGAGAGAACAAUAGGAAUACUGAAAUCCAAAUUUAGAUGCCUGCUUGGAGCAGAUAGGCGUCUCAAUUAUUCGCCUAAAAAGUGCACAAAUAUUAUAAACAUAUGUUGUGCACUACACAACAUAUGUAUAGAAAACAACAUUGGUUGGCUGCAGAAUCUUGAUGAAAUGUUUUUGUUUAUAAAUGAUUAAAUUAAAAACGAUAUAAUAACAAAAACAUCACAGCAUAAAUAUUCCAAUGUUUUCAUAUGUUAUCGUAAAGGAGUUUCAUUUUCAUUUUCAACAUUCCUUUUGUAAAUUAAAAAAGAUGUAUUUACAUUAACACUGCAAUAUUUUUGGUUAUAUCUAAUUGGGUUUAUUUUUUAAAAUGGCAAGUCGUUCAUAUCUUAUUUCUAUCUGGUUGUUCGCUUUUGCCAAUUUUUAUUCUAAUUUCUUAUUAGCUAUUUUCAUCAUUAGCUCUAAUUUCUUAUUUGCUACUUCGCGUUUUUGGUCCAACAGCUGUUGAUUUAAAGCUACACCUGUGGACAUAAAAAUAGGAACUUUUUUUCUGACCGAAAAACAUAGUUCUUUUCAGAAUUAUUUGGUAGCCCUGAAAAGAGCUGGUUAAGUGGUGGUUGGGAGGUGGUGUUGCGGUGUUCCACAGAGCGAAACACAUUCUAACGGUCAAUGUGUUGAUCAUUAUUUUCUUUCACUGCCUGGCAGCGAGUAGCCAUAUCUAGGAUGAGCUUCUUGCAGGUUUCUGGAGGUAUGCGUUUCCACAUUUCCUCGCAGCGUACCCAUAGGUCAUCCGCUGAGGAUGCAUGCUGGUUCUUGAGCUUGUCCUUAAGAUUCGACCCCAGAUUUUCAAUUGGAUUGAGGUCAGGACUCAACGCAGGCCACGGUAGAACUUGCACAUCUUGGUUUGCCAAAUAACAUCUAACUGUUCGUGAUGUGUGCUUUGAGUCGUUAUCAUGCUGAAAGAUGUAAUGCUCUUCGUCGCCGAAUGUUUGUCGAGCGUAUGGAAACAUCUUACGACUAAGUAUUUUUCUGUACCCUUCCGAGUUCAGUGUCUCGAUGAUACGGACCAAAGGACCCGGGCCGUGCCAGGAGAAGCAACCCCACACCAUUACGUGGCCGCCUCCGUUCCGGCUGCAGCUUCCGAACCUUCCGUGGUCUCCGGGCACAGAACCCAGCGUCGUGUAAACGGCGAGACGCCGUCUUCGACGAAACUUGCAAUCCAAGUUCCUGCUUGAUUCCAGUGCAAGUUUUGGAAGGGUCCACCCUGCUCUUUUUAACAAUCUGCGCGUCAACGUUAGCCGUUGUUUUUCGCGGACGACCUGUCGACUUACUCGUAGUGUCGCUACGAAUGGCGAUGUCCACAAACGUCCGCGAACGGCCGAACGCCUUGCAGAUUGUCUUUAUUUUGACGUUCUCACGAAACAGCCCCUGAAUGUGUUUUUGUUCCUCUGGUGUGCAGUGCUUACCGCAACCCAUGAAGAUUUUGUGGAUUUUUUUAACAGCAACCUUACACCUUGACCACUGACUGAUGAAUGAAGUGCAAAACGAUUUGGCUCUCCUUUUAUACUGCCGCGACACGUCAUCGGCACACGUAACUCAGAUUAGUAGCGCACCAAAAAUGGGAGUAUAUAAGGCAAAAAUCGGCGAUUGCAACUUCAGUACGCCUCUCACUCUUGCCGAUGACACAUCUAGCGCAUGCAUUGAGCCAAAAACAAAAAAACUCACACAAUUUUUUUUUCAUUUUUAUGUCCAGCGGUGUACUAUUUAAA